AGUGAACGCUGGCGGUAGGCCUAACACAUGCAAGUCGAACGGCAGCACAGUAAGAGCUUGCUCUUACGGGUGGCGAGUGGCGGACGGGUGAGGAAUACAUCGGAAUCUACUUUUUCGUGGGGGAUAACGUAGGGAAACUUACGCUAAUACCGCAUACGACCUACGGGUGAAAGCAGGGGAUCUUCGGACCUUGCGCGAUUGAAUGAGCCGAUGUCGGAUUAGCUAGUUGGCGGGGUAAAGGCCCACCAAGGCGACGAUCCGUGGCUGGUCUGAGAGGAUGAUCAGCCACACUAGAACUGAGACACGGUCCAGACUCCUACGGGAGGCAGCAGUGGGGAAUAUUGGACAAUGGGCGCAAGCCUGAUCCAGCCAUACCGCGUGGGUGAAGAAGGCCUUCGGGUUGUAAAGCCCUUUUGUUGGGAAAGAAAAGCAGCAGGUUAAUACCCCGCUGUUCUGACGGUACCCAAAGAAUAAGCACCGGCUAACUUCGUG
rnacentral:rRNA from 1 species